GUGGGGAAUAUUGGACAAUGGGCGAAAGCCUGAUCCAGCCAUGCCGCGUGUGUGAAGAAGGUCUUCGGAUUGUAAAGCACUUUAAGUUGGGAGGAAGGGCAGUAAGUUAAUACCUUGCUGUUUUGACGUUACCGACAGAAUAAGCACCGGCUAACUUCGUGCCAGCAGCCGCGGUAAUACGAAGGGUGCAAGCGUUAAUCGGAAUUACUGGGCGUAAAGCGCGCGUAGGUGGUUUUGUAAGUUGGAGGUGAAAUCCCCGGGCUCAACCUGGGAACUGCCUCCAAAACUGCAUGACUAGAGUACGGUAGAGGGUAGUGGAAUUUCCUGUGUAGCGGUGAAAUGCGUAGAUAUAGGAAGGAACACCAGUGGCGAAGGCGACUACCUGGACUGAUACUGACACUGAGGUGCGAAAGCGUGGGGAGCAAACAGGAUUAGAAACCCUGGUAGUC
rnacentral:rRNA from 1 species